ACAAACAUAAAACAUACAACGGGGUACCCCAAAACUAGAAAGGGACUGGAACCUCCUGCGGUGAGGACUGGCACCUCACCUUUACAGGGACUGGAACCCUGUUUACUUGUAGGGGACUGGCACCCCUAUCCUUAAAGGGACUGAAAUACGCUUUUUUA